UACGGGGGGGGCAAGCGUUGUUCGGAAUUACUGGGCGUAAAGCGCGCGUAGGCGGCUUUGCAAGUCGAUUGUGAAAUCCCUAGGCUCAACCUAGGAACUGCACUCGAAACUGCGUUUCUUGAGUGCCGGAGAGGAAAGCGGAAUUCCUGGUGUAGAGGUGAAAUUCGUAGAUAUCAGGAGGAACACCAGUGGCGAAGGCGGCUUUCUGGACGGUAACUGACGCUGAGACGCGAAAGCGUGGGGAGCAAACAGG
rnacentral:rRNA from 1 species